UAUUAGGUUGGUGCAAAAGUGAUUGCGGCUUUUGCCAUUAAAAAAGUGGCAAAAACCACUAUCAGUUUUGCACCAACCUUAGUUCAUAAUUAAUUACUAAAAUGUUC
rnacentral:miRNA from 10 species